CAGCCAUGGCCGAGCCUGAGAAGACACAUGUUGUUGGCCUUCGUGCCCCAUGCCAGAAACUGCCACAAAUCUCAUGGGAAAUACUGAGUUAGGAUUGUCAGAACUCUGUGAGAAAGAAGACUGAAUAGUUUUCAUCCGGCUGACCACAACUUCAAGAGUAGCACCCCGGCUCUCAUCUUUUACAACAUGUACCUACGGAAUUAAAUACAGCUCUAUAUAAAACA